GACUGAUCUGGNCUCAGUUCCAUGGAAAGGGGCNCCAGAGAGGGUNAAGACCCNGUUNGGCCCGGACCCUGCUGCACCACGAAGCGCAGUCNGCAGGUUGGUUUGUUNGUGAAUGCAGCCCUAAUUGGGUGGUAAAUNUCGUCCAAGGCUAAAUACGGGUGAGAGACCGAUAGCGAACAAGUACCGAGAGGGAAAGAUGAAAAGGACUUUGAAAAGAGAGUUAAAGAGUGCUUGAAAUUGCNGAGAGGGAAGUGGAUGGAGGCCGGCGAUGCNCCCCGGUCAGAUGCGGAAUGGCGUGAGCCNGUCCGCCGCUCGGCUCGAGGGGNNUGCCAGCANGGGCCAUUGUGGCAGCACAAGCGCGGCNUUUUGGUCNCACUGUACCUCCGUCAUGGNGGUNGAGGAGCGAAGCGCGCACCUAUGGUAGGCCUUCGGGCACCUGCGCGCUNGUGGCGNUGGCCAGCGGGCUUUCCAUUCGACCCGUCUUGAAACACAGACCAAGGAGUCUAACAUGUGUGCGAGUUGGCGGNUUGGNAANCCUUCGAGGCGCAAGGAANNUGACUGGCGAAAUCCCCUCUCGGGGGGUGCACCGCCNACCCACCUUGAUCUUUUNUGAAGGGUUCGAGUGCGAGCACACCUGUUGGGACUCGAAAGAUGGUGAACUAUGCCUUAGCAGGGCGAAGCCAGAGGAAACUCUNGUGGAGGCCCGCAGCGAUACUGACGUGCAAAUCAUUCGUCUGACUUGGGUAUAGGGGCGAAAGACUAAUCGAACNNUCUAGUAGCUGGUUUCCUCUGAAGUUUCCCUCAAGAUAGCUNGAGCUCAUGUGCGAGUUUUAUCGGGUAAAGCAAAUGAUUAGAGGCAUCGGGGGCGUAACGCCCUCGACCUAUUCUCAAACUUUAAAUAGGUAAGGCGGNGCGGCUGCUCCNUUGAGCUGCGCCACGGAAUCANGAGCUCCAAGUGGGCCAUUUUUGGUAAGCAGAACUGGCGAUGCGGGAUGAACCGAAAGCNGAGUUACGGUGCCAAAUUGCGCGNNUAACCCAGAUCCCACAAAGGGCU
rnacentral:rRNA from 1 species